UACGUAGGGCGCGAGCGUUGUCCGGAAUCAUUGGGCGUAAAGCGCGCGUAGGCGGCCCGGUAAGUCCGUUGUGAAAGUCGAAGGCUCAACCUUCGAAAGCCGAUGGAUACUGCCGGGCUAGAGUACGGAAGAGGCGAGUGGAAUUCCUGGUGUAGCGGUGGAAUGCGCAGAUAUCAGGAGGAACACCAAUAGCGAAGGCAGCUCGCUGGGACGUUACUGACGCUGAGGCGCGAAAGCGUGGGGAGCGAACAGG
rnacentral:rRNA from 1 species